GGGCCUGUAGCUCAAUUGGUAGAGUGCUCGUUUCGCAUCGUACACCCGAGACGCUGGCGCGUGGGAAUCUACGAGAGGUACCGGGAUCGAAGCCCGGCAGGUCCA